rnacentral:rRNA from 1 species
CGGCGAGUGAAGCGGCAACAGCUCAAAUUUGAAAUCUGGCCCUCGGGUCCGAAUUGUAAUUUGUAGAGGAUGAUUUUGGUGCGGUAUCUUCCGAGUUCCUUGGAACAGGACGCCUUAGAGGGUGAGAGCCCCGUACGGUUGAAUGCCUAGCCUCUGUAAAUCUCCUUCGACGAGUCGAGUAGUUUGGGAAUGCUGCUCUAAAUGGGAGGUAAAUUUCUUCUAAAGCUAAAUAUUGGCCAGAGACCGAUAGCGCACAAGUAGAGUGAUCGAAAGAUGAAAAGCACUUUGAAAAGAGGGUUAAAUAGCACGUGAAAUUGUUGAAAGGGAAGGAUUUGUGACCAGACUUUUUCUGGGCGGAUCAUCCGGGGUUCUCUCCGGUGCACUUUGCCCAGUAAAGGCCAGCAUCGAUUUUCGGCGGCGGAUAAAAGCAGUGGGAAUGUGGCUCCCCACGGGGAGUGUUAUAGCCCAUUGUAUAAUACGCUGCUGGGGAUCGAGGUACGCGCUUCUGCAAGGAUGCUGGCGUAAUGGUUAUCAAUCACCCGUCUUGAAACACGGACCAAGGAGUCGAACAUUUAUGCGAGUGUUUGGGUGUUAAACCCUCACGCGUAAUGAAAGUGAACGGAGGUGAGAGCCCGUACGGGUGCAUCAUCGACCGAUCCUGAAGUUUUCGGAUGGAUUUGAGUAAGAGCAUAACUGUUCGGACCCGAAAGAUGGUGAACUAUGCGUGGAUAGGGUGAAGCCAGAGGAAACUCUGGUGGAGGCUCGCAGCGGUUCUGACGUGCAAAUCGAUCGUCAAAUCUGCGCAUGGGGGCGAAAG